rnacentral:lncRNA from 1 species
GAGAAAACAACGAUACGAGGGUGCAAUUCAGAGACCUGCUAGUUUUAGCUGGAGCAGAGAACAUACUUUUUUUUCAACACGUUCUCACUCCCAACUCGUCAUAUACUGACGCUUGGUCAGGAACCCUCGGCGUAAGUUAUUGACGCACAGGGUACCCCUUUAGCGUCAUAUUUAGACGUGCAGGGAUUCCCUAUAGAAUCUGUGCCUGAGCCUGAGGCGUCAUAGGGAGACGCUGGAGGCUCGUAUAAUUACCAAUAGAUGUCAACGAAAUUUUUAAAACCUGAUUUACGCCUAUUAUCUUAGUUUUCUUAUUUUAAAAAUAAGUAAUUUUUAUUUUGUUCACGAAAAGCGUCUGUAAACUGGGUCGAAACUACUGUAUGAAUAAACUUCGGUCCACGUGACAUCCCUUCACGGUGAGUUUAACGCCGCUCUGCUAUUGGUCAAACUGCAUCAGCGGUGAGUUCUCAGAUGAGUUCAACUGUCAACAUUAAAUAUUACGUUAAUGCUGCAUAAUGUAUUUUUAUUGGAGAUUAGUUGGUGUUUAUAAAUAUGUUAUCAUUUACUUUAUAUUUAAUGAGUGAAAAUAUAUUCGGUUGUCCAGUUUAGGGUAACUAUCUCUAAUAAAACUUUGAUUCAUUUAUAUUAUUUAUUAUUUUUUUACUUUAAAAAAUAUUACAUUUCAAGUACUAAGUUUAAAAAUGUUUUCGGCUGAUCUUUUUCAUUUUAAAUUAUUUAUUGAAGUUGGGGUCAUUGUAUGUGGCGAUCUAUUUUUUACAGUCUAUGCUCGCUAUCCCAAGGUUCAUUGCGAUCCCAAGGUUCACUGCGGUUUUCCACAAGCCUGUUUCUGCCUAUCACCAUGAGUGAUUCCUUUAUACUCAGAUUUAUUAUCAAGAUCUCAAUUAUUAGCUCAAGUCUUGAUGACAACUUGAUGAUCUGCAGGAAGCACCACCAUGUAAGGAAGGCCAAGACCACUCUGGAAUCAGUCAAGGCUCAUAGGAACUCCAAUCUUCCCAACUGUGAGAGAGCCUUGCUCCAGUGA